GAUGAACGCUGGCGGCGUGCCUAAUUCAUGCAAGUCGAGCGAACAGACGAGGAGCUUGCUCCUCUGACGUUAGCGGCGGACGGGUGAGUAACACGUGGAUAACCUACCUAUAAGACUGGGAUAACUUCGGGAAACCGGAGCUAAUACCGGAUAAUAUAUUGAACCGCAUGGUUCAAUAGUGAAAGACGGUUUUGCUGUCACUUAUAGAUGGAUCCGCGCCGCAUUAGCUAGUUGGUAAGGUAACGGCUCACCAAGGCAACGAUGCGUAGCCGACCUGAGAGGGUGAUCGGCCACACUGGAACUGAGACACGGUCCAGACUCCUACGGGAGGCAGCAGUAGGGAAUCUUCCGCAAUGGGCGAAAGCCUGACGGAGCAACGCCGCGUGAGUGAUGAAGGUCUUCGGAUCGUAAAACUCUGUUAUUAGGGAAGAACAAAUGUGUAAGUAACUAUGCACGUCUUGACGGUACCUAAUCAGAAAGCCACGGCUAACUACGUG
rnacentral:rRNA from 1 species